AUACAAUAUGAAGCCUAACCUAUGAGAUGAUCCUGUGCAGAAAUGGAUUUAUAUAAGUCUCUUUGGGGCAGAAGGAAGAUGGAGAGGGAAAAUGCAUUCCCUGUUCCCACAGCCUUGCACUUGGUAAGACUACUACCUAGGAGUGUAGCAUCUAUAACACAUCCACACACCAAAAAAGCUCACCUUAUUCGCCG